AGAUGAAAAUACGGAGCUGUACAACAAGAACAUCUCUGCAUAUAUCUCUUUUUUAGGAAGGCCAAACAACAACAGACAGAAGUUAGGUUCGAUUUACUGUUACAUACAUACAUACUGAUACAUAUUAACCAAAAAGGCGUGUUUAACUAUAUUGUGAAUACGAAGCUACGUACUUGAUAUAUGAACACUGUCGUUUUUCUGAGAAGAUCAAGAAUUUUAACUGCGGCCCAAAGUGACCAAAAAAAGAUCGAAGAUUGGCUUCUUUGAUCUGCCGUCGCUCACGAAUCUCUAUGCAUCUGGAGACAAGUGGAGGCGCACAGAUUGAGUACCUAAUUUUUUCAGACUAAGCAUUUUUACUAUAUCUAUGGGACCUGACCGGACCUAGGGCGUCUCCCUAACUCCGCUAGCUAGAGUGAAAGAAGCCGAUUAAUGGCGCUAUUCAUACUUAAUUGCUCGGCUGUGCCAGUUUUGGAGAUGAGAAUAAAGGUCGAUCGAAAAACGAUGCCGAUUCAAAGUCGUCAAUCUUAGCCAUUUUCUCUAAUAGUCCGGCUAGUUAACUCUUUUUAAGCCGUCGAGGAGGUUACUGAAUGCAACCCCUCUGUGACACAGUAAUGGCCGAAAACUACAGUGUUCGUAUGUUCAACAACUGUGAAGACCAAAGUGCUUGUCGUUAAACGUGAAGAAAUCCGUAAAAGUUUGUGCAUCUCUUGAACUUUAAAGUUUGAUAUUACAAAUCUAAUUACCACUAAAUCAAGCACGCCCUCACUAGGACAACUGCUUUCCAACCUCCCGAUGCGAUUUUUUAAACCAUCUUAACUCCUGUCUCUUUGCUACUGCUUUAACGGUCGUCGUGAUAAAUGCUCUAUGUGAAAAAAUAAACGAAAGUAUGAUAAAAUUCAAGUAAAAAAAAAGAUCUAUCGAGAAAAUUUUUGAAAGCGUCCCUACACGACGGGCGUAUUAGCGGACACGUGGUUCUUUUGAUCGAGAGCGGGCCACCACAAACAUAGCGCUAGCCUAUUACCAUCGAAGCCGCAGAUUGGAUCCCUUGGCGAAAUCUACCUCUUCCAUAUAUUCAUUCAAUCAUCGGUCAAUCUAGGAGAAGCCGAAUCGGCUUAACUCUUAUAUUUUUUAACAGGUUUUGUUAGUGAAAGCUAAAGCAAAAGAGAACCCGGGGAAGAAAGAUAGCUCGUCCUUCACACGGCUUCUCUUGAUGUUUUCCCGUUCGGCUGUUAGCCAUCCGACCGAUCGAUAAGAAUGAACCACAUUACACCGCUUUACAGGUCUACAUUGUGUCAGACGUGGCCGUCCUUUGCUUUAUCUGGCAUUUGACUAUAGUUACCGCUCUACAAUCCCUGCAUAGUUGUAUUCAUAACGAUUAAUUGUGCUAUGUCUUUCGCUCGGCUUUCCCUCUUCUUUCUUGUGGUUAUCGUCUGCCAGUCAGCCCACCUUCACCGCCCCUGUGGAAAUUGGAACACAACUACGCUUUCGGUGAUUAUAGGUGCCUGGUACGCUUUAUGCGAUGUAAUGUAAUGCAACGCCACGCAAUAAUCCCCUGUCAGACAAUUCACGCGAGCGCGAACAACCGGAAUAUUGACGCUCGCCUUGAUAUGCCCGCUCUCUUAGCUCUUGGUUAUGUUGUUCACGUCGUUGUUAAUGUUGUUGCCGUACUCGUUGAAAUCGUCGCGGUUGUACUUAUCUGCGGGAUCUUCUUGUGCCACUUCUUCUUUUUCUUGGCUUUUCCAGACACCCGAUUCCUCCAGUUUUCUGCAUAACAUACCAGAGUCAUCUGUUCUUGUUCCCUUGCCGAUGGCUUUUCGCGCGGAAAGAAGGAAACGCUAUUUAACUUCGCACGGACGGCAAUCAUCGCCGAUGACUCGCUCUCUGAAGCCCGCCGUAUUUGGUCUUGUUUUUAACGGUGUCUAAAAAGAAUAGCUCCGUUUGGGGACUCGCGCGCAUCCUUAUCAGUUUGCAGCGAUGCAGCCACUAUACAUGAGCGCUCUUCCGGGUAUCCCAUGCCUUCUAAUCUUCUUGUUUUACCAAACUUCACCUGUCGCUGGAGCGGAACAAGUGUCUUCGGUGGUAAAUACCCCCCUGCAUACGACGGUCGAGCAUUCCGUGCAUCCUUCAACGACACGUCAGAAAGAAACGUGGAGCCCUAUCAUUCAACUGAACCAAUUAGUGAGACCCAGACGAGAUCGCUUGCCGCCAGGCUUCAAAGUUCUUCGAGUGACACCAUCUGAGGAUGGUCGGCAAAAAUUCCCACCAAGCACAUCAGAGGGUGCAGGACCACACGUUCUCAUUACAAAGCUCUUGGAUUCGAUACACCAUACUAUUAUCCUGACGGCCCGACCGUGGUUUUCCCUGGUGGCCACCAGCAUCCUGAGUCACCUAUUGUUCCGCUUGUGGUCACACCAGCAGCGUAUCCAGGCUCAUUUGUUCACUCAUAUCCCAGUUAUCCCGAGGUAGUUUACCCGGUUUAUCCAACCAGAGGGGGAGUGCGCCCAGAACAUAGCGUCGACAUCAACGAUCAACAAGCUGGCGGCGACCAACAUCACGAUGAACGUAUUGUGUGCCAGGAACACGUCAAGCGCAUCAAGGGGGUUUCAGCAGUCCAGAAAACGCCGACAUACAUCGCUGCAACCAAUGGUGUACCCGUUGCCCUUAAGAUUUUCCCCCAACCACAAUGGGUGCAGAUCUCAAAACACCACCAAAACUCGAAAAAUUUCCACUACAAUCUGUUGUAAUCUGGGAUGCAGGUUAAUGUUGUGUAAAUCUGCUUACAAAUGUUUCACCUUACGUUGUGUAUGUAUAAUACUAUCUAUCAAAUAUAGUACAUGUCAUCGAAGUGGUUACAAUGUCGGAAAGCGCUAAGCUACGGUUACCUACUCGUGUAUAAACGCUACUAUUAUAUUAACCAUUUAUAGUUACACGACCACACACGAUCAUAUCAUUGCGCGUACAAUAAAAACACUUCUUUUCUUGCACGUUGCUUUCAAAGCGAAUCGUCGUAGAGCUACCUUAAAAGCCCGCAUAUUGUAUACGGUGGAACGUGUAUAUAUAAGUUAAAUGUGUUUAUUCUGUAAUAUUAAAUAAUAAUUUAAGUGCCCAAACAUAAACUGUGCGAUGCUCGUCAUAUCCUAGUAGCAAGUACACAAGCCCACCGGAUAACAGAGACCUCCAAAUGGAUACCUUAUUGGAUUGGAUGCUAGAGAUAUCGCGUGCUUGGAUUAGUUGGUAUGUCAAUGUAAAAGCCAUCAAAACAUCGACAACUUAAUACGCUCUAUAACUACAUAUUAAGACAACUAUAUUAUAUCACAUGCACUUCCUGGUGAGGGAGUUGAAGGGUGGCCUGAAAAUUUGUGAAAAAUCCCGAAUCCUGUGUGCACUUUGAAGAUAUCUCACAGAUACGUUGCAUUCGUUAUUAUAUUAAGUAUAUUUUUCUAACGAAAUCUUCGGUUACGCAUGUUAUACGAUGUUGCACUUGCCACUGGUUUGACUUUUAAUAGUACAAUAUUGAACCCUGUAUUCGUUACUAGAACUUUCACGACGAAAAAGAGGCUUUUGAUUCUAUCUUGUAUUAACUAUUCAACAUUGCAAUUGAUAGAACUAUAUCGAUUUCUUUACAUCACCUUCUCUUAUCAAUGCGAUACACAGACGAAAAAUAACCUUCGGCCAGCCAGUGCUAAUAAUAUUCAAUGUUCGUAAAAAAGCUGCGGUGCCAAUCUCCGUUGACUAGCAAGCCAACGAGCCAGGUAUUUCUAACUGACAGUCUUAUAUCUUGGUUGAUUGAACAGUCUCAACGAAGUCUGGCUUGCUCGUCACUAAUCCACUGUUGAAUCGCAGAUCUGAAGAAAAAGAGUUAUACCCAAUUCAUCGAAAAAGAAGAGCUCUGUACAGCGGGAAUGAAAGACCGUUAAAAAGAAGUUUUCACGUGCUGAACAUAUCAAGAUAGGAACCGUCGGUUUGGCAAUGGAGUCGACGGAUGACUACCAUGUCCAUUCAGUGAUGCCUCCACAGGUAUUUUCUGUUUUCUCCAUCCACACCUGAGUGUUCAGCAGAACGUGAAUGGUCAUGGCGUCUACAUCAAGGUUUGGCCGACUACCUGAACCAGGAUCUAUAGUAGAUCCUUCUUUUUUAUAGAAUCUAUUCCAAUUAUUCUUGAAUUCAAGGUAGACAAGACACAACCUGUAGGUAAUUUACGAGUUCAGACAAACAAAUAUAUCAAGAUACAUUCUUAGAAUAUUGUAGUGUCAUGAAACGCAUCCAAAAUUUCUGUUAAAGCACUGUUCAAUAAUAAACAAAGUUAUUAAGUAAGUUAUUCCAUUGUUCUUAACCUGAGCAACUAUGUUCUGGAACUUGUCACCCUAAACACCUAUCUAAUGCAGACAUUUUGUUACUUAGGGAAAAAUAGUACCAUACCAGUAAUACUGAAAAUAUUCGAAGUCUUGUACUUGCCCAGUUAUUACAGAUGUAUAUUCGUAACAUUUAUCUCGAUUACUGAUAGUACUCGAUAUUUUCUACAUUUUUUUCAUGAAAUGACUGCGGUAAUCACACAACUUACGCAAUCAGAGGUGCCGCUUCGUUAAAUUGGCAAUGCAUCGGUAAAUUUGAGCGUAUGUGCGCGUGCUUGUACUCGCUUUGAUACAUGCGUGUUACGCGAUAUUCUUGUAUACUUUUCGUGAACGAAUGUUGAUGGGUGCGUGAUUUUUAGCUGGACAAAUCUUGUUCUAUAUUCUAGUAAACAAUGUACUGGUGAACCAGUGGCCAUGUCCAUAGCCGUUAUGUGCUGCUGCGAUAAUCCAAGAAUGGGACGAACAUUGUUUUGAAAAUUAAAUUUAGUUUUCUUAAUCAAACGUAACUAUUUUAUUAGCACAUAUCGAUACGUAAUAGCUGUUCUAUCACCGACAUUCUCACCUAAAUACUUCACUAGUUCACUAGAGAUUAAAAUACAUCAUCAAGUCCGUUACUCUUCAAACUUCAGUGAAAAAUCUUGAAAAAAUGCUUGAAAAAUGAUCUCGUAAACAAAAUUUCUAAUACGUUCACUAUACGAAUUUGGUUGCAUGUCUUGGUAAUAAUAAGAUUAGCUAAAAUAGUUUGUUUCUUGAAACAUUAUUUAUUAGGCGAGAAACCGACUCAUGUAGUUUUGCAGUGUUUUCGUACUCGUUAUGCCACUGUCUUUUUGAAGAGAACAGGAUGAUAAUCGAAUCGUUCCGACCGGAAAACGGCGGUCGCCCAGCCUCAAACUAAGCCGCUCCAGAGUAUUUUACCUUUCUAUCUUUGUCUGCGAAUUUGCUAACAGUCAAAAUAUAUGCGUCCCACGCACAACCUCUGCCACAUGAAUCGCUCAGAGCCUAGGCUUGAUAUUAUUAUUGUUAUCAAAUCAACGUCAGAUUGUGUGAUAUGUUAUAGUAGAUUGUUCAGUAAUAAAGAAUUGAUUCAUUAGUGAA